AGUGAACGCUGGCGGUAGGCCUAACACAUGCAAGUCGAACGGCAGCACAGUAAGAGCUUGCUCUUACGGGUGGCGAGUGGCGGACGGGUGAGGAAUACAUCGGAAUCUACUUUUUCGUGGGGGAUAACGUAGGGAAACUUACGCUAAUACCGCAUACGACCUACGGGUGAAAGCAGGGGUUAUUCGGACCUUUCGCGAUUGAAUUAGCCGAUGUCGGAUUAGCUAGUUGGCUGGGUAAAGGCCCACCAAGGCGACGAUCCGUAGCUGGGCUGAGAGGGUGAUCGGCCACACUGGAACUGAGACACGGUCCAGACUCCUACGGGAGGCAGCAGUAGGGAAUAUUCAGCAAUGGGCGAAAGCCUGACGGAGCAACGCCGCGUGAGUGAAGAAGGUCUUCGGAUUGUAAAGCUCUGUUAUUAGGGAAGAAAAAAUGUGGAAGUAACUACGCCCGUCUUGACGGUACCUAAACAGAAAGCCACGGCUAACUACGUG
rnacentral:rRNA from 1 species